UACGGGGGGGGCAAGCGUUGUUCGGAAUUACUGGGCGUAAAGGGCGCGUAGGCGGCCUGCUAAGUCGGACGUGAAAUCCCCCGGCUUAACUUGGGAACUGCGUCUGAUACUGGGAGGCUUGAGUAUGGGAGAGGGAUGUAGAAUUCCAGGUGUAGCGGUGAAAUGCAUAGAUAUCUGGGAGGAAUACCGGUGGCGAAGGCGGCAUCCUGGACCAUAACUGACGCUGAGGCGCGAAAGCUAGGGGAGCAAACGGG
rnacentral:rRNA from 1 species